CUUAUCCCAGACACAUACAUACACUUACUGCACACACACACACACACACACACACACACACACAGGUGCUCACGCUGGUAAGUACCAUACAUAGACACAUAAACAAAUCUACUUGCAUCCAUGCUUCUCCAGACACAUUGAUUUGCAAACACAGGCACACACUCACACCUUCCCCAGACACAUACGUACAUGCACACCCGGGUGCAUGAACACACACAUAUUUUCUUCAUUACCUCCUCAAAUACUGUCUUUUCUCUCUGUCUUGAGUUCAAUGUUGUUUUUUGUCUCUUUUUGACCCUCCCCCUCCACUUCCCCUCAAUUUAUUCCAGCUGUGAAAACCUUUUCCACAUCUCCUCUGUCACCCCAGCAGAUAGGUGAGUGGCAGGCAGAGGAGUCCACUCGGCAGCCACCGUUGGUAAUGGAUGCCAGAUGUGGGGCUGGCCCCCAGCCCAGCUCAGCUCUGAGCUGGGGCUCCCGUGCCUGGCUCCUGCAGCUGGGCAAGGGAAGCUCUGGGCUGGGCCAGGAGCAGACCCAGGGGACGAAGGCAGGGAGGACCAGGAACAGCGCCUAUAGGGGUGGGGGUGAGGCCGGGUGCUGAGCACCAGGGUGGGAGCCCCUGCGGCUGGGUUGAUGCAGUGCUGAGACUGAGGCCUGCCUCUAGCUUCCUGUCGGCCAUUUUAUUUCCUGGGGGAAAAGGGUUUGCCGCUGGUAUUAUUCAUAAAUACAUGCAUUUGGUAAAAUACAAAAAGCCAAUUAUAACGUUCUAGAACUCUCUGUGUCUGUUCUGCCACGGGCGGCCAUGAGACAGCUAACACCAACAGACGUUUCGGGAACUUUCAAGCCACUCACACGGGACAAAUUCCUUCCCUCAGGUAAUCAUCCUGUAACCUUAUGAGGUAGAAAAACCAACUGUUCCCGGUUAACUGAUGGAACAAGAGAGACCAAGAUCAUCUACCCGCCCAUCCAGAGAGUGGUGGUCCCAGGAGCUGAGCCCAGGCAGUGCGACUCCACAGACCACCCUAAGCUAUCAGAGGACAAAAAUCUUCUGUAAACUGACGGCUGCGCAAGAGUGAGAGCCAGAGUGUGGAUGCCCAGCGGCCACGUGAGAAAGCUGGGCACUGCAGAUGACGACAAUCCCAGCCCUGAGGAAGUAGAGACAGAAGGUGCACCCACUGAAUGGUCUCUCCUCAGCUGAUGUCCCCGUUAGCUCAAGUCUGCACAGAAAGAACAGCUGGGAGUCGUGGACAUCAGAGCUAGAACUGUAAUAUGUGAGUCACUGUGCUGGCCUCCACAUCUCCACUUCUUAGCUUGCGCUGGUGUCCAUGCCACUGGGGAAGAACCUGCUGUUCAGCGCCAGCCUGGGCACUACGAUCCCCUCAUUUCUCCUGGAUGAGGCCGGAAGCUCCAAGACUCGCAAAUACCACAUUGGUCGCUCAAAGUUUCCGGUGGCGGGAAUAUGGACAGCGUGGAGAUGGGCAAAUGAGGAUUUCCUCCUAGAGAGCCAGCUUUUCGUCAUGGACCAGCCCACCGCUGCCCCACCUACCCCCACCAGCCAUACACACAGCCUCUCCCCCAAAAGGCUGAGCGUCCCUUCUCUCGCUGGGAAGCUGGCACUGCAGAGCUUACAGACAAGGACAGGUAACUUACAGAGGAAGAGUUUGUUUGUCCUAUGGUUAAGAGUCCAACCUGGUGAGGAAGUUGGGCCGAGGCAGCCGGCGUGGUGGCUGGGGCAGGAUGCUGAGCGCUCAUAUUUUGAACAGCAAGCUCGAAGCAGAGAGAACUGACUAGAAAGGGCACAGGCCUUUUGACUCUCAAAGUCCACCCUUAGUGAUGCCUUUCUUCCAGCAAGGCCACACCUCCCGAACCUCCACAGACAGUGCCACCAUCUGGGAACUAAGUGUUCAGACACCUGAGCCCGUGGGGGCCUUCUCACUCAAAUCCCGCCUCCACCUCACAGGGGCGGGGCUUAUAAACCACGCCCGGUUUUACGCUGGGAAUUGAGCGUCAGGUUUUCCGAAUGCUGGGCAAUCGCUCUGCCAACUGAGCCACUCCCACACCACCAGAUCUUUGUGUGUAACUCCACAGGGCCUUUCGGAGAGCCCGGGCCCCGCAUGUCACCACCACCCACCUGCUUGUGUCCAGUGGGCCGUCUCCCCCGAGGAGGCCACUUCGCCAAGUAACGCACAACAAACUCCCCAGGCAUGUUCUCCUCUGACUUAACCAGGGCAGUGCGCCAGUCUGGCCUUGGCUCCCCCUCCCCUCCCCCACCAUGGCCUAGGCCCCCUUUACACUCCACUCCCCAAGGCCACACUGUCACCCUUUUCAGACCCCGGGAGGCCAGGGCAGGCCCCGAGCUUCUCGGUGACAUUCCUCCGAUCUUUCUUCUGCCUCCGGCUUCCUGUCCUGUCGCCUCAGCUGCCUUCUGCCCCUCGGUCCCUUUGCUCUGCCUGUGUGUGGAUCUCUU